UACAGAGGGGGCAAGCGUUGUUCGGAAUUACUGGGCGUAAAGGGCGCGUAGGCGGCCUGUUAAGUCGAACGUGAAAUCCCCGGGCUCAACCCGAGAACUGCGUCCGAUACUGGCAGGCUUGAAUCCGGGAGAGGGAUGCGGAAUUCCAGGUGUAGCGGUGAAAUGCGUAGAUAUCAGGAGGAACACCGGUGGCGAAGGCGGGUCUCUGGGCAACUACUGACGCUGAGGAGCGAAAGCGUGGGGAGCGAACAGG
rnacentral:rRNA from 1 species